AUGAACGCUAGCUACAGGCUUAACACAUGCAAGUCGAGGGGCAGCAUGGUCUUAGCUUGCUAAGGCCGAUGGCGACCGGCGCACGGGUGAGUAACACGUAUCCAACCUGCCGUCUACUCUUGGACAGCCUUCUGAAAGGAAGAUUAAUACAAGAUGGCAUCAUGAGUCCGCAUGUUCACAUGAUUAAAGGUAUUCCGGUAGACGAUGGGGAUGCGUUCCAUUAGAUAGUAGGCGGGGUAACGGCCCACCUAGUCUUCGAUGGAUAGGGGUUCUGAGAGGAAGGUCCCCCACAUUGGAACUGAGACACGGUCCAAACUCCUACGGGAGGCAGCAGUGAGGAAUAUUGGUCAAUGGGCGAGAGCCUGAACCAGCCAAGUAGCGUGAAGGAUGACUGCCCUAUGGGUUGUAAACUUCUUUUAUAAAGGAAUAAAGUCGGGUAUGGAUACCCGUUUGCAUGUACUUUAUGAAUAAGGAUCGGCUAACUCCGUGCCAGCAGCCGCGGUAAUACGGAGGAUCCGAGCGUUAUCCGGAUUUAUUGGGUUUAAAGGGAGCGUAGAUGGAUGUUUAAGUCAGUUGUGAAAGUUUGCGGCUCAACCGUAAAAUUGCAGUUGAUACUGGAUAUCUUGAGUGCAGUUGAGGCAGGCGGAAUUCGUGGUGUAGCGGUGAAAUGCUUAGAUAUCACGAAGAACUCCGAUUGCGAAGGCAGCCUGCUAAGCUGCAACUGACAUUGAGGCUCGAAAGUGUGGGUAUCAAACAGGAUUAGAUACCCUGGUAGUCCACACGGUAAACGAUGAAUACUCGCUGUUUGCGAUAUACUGCAAGCGGCCAAGCGAAAGCGUUAAGUAUUCCACCUGGGGAGUACGCCGGCAACGGUGAAACUCAAAGGAAUUGACGGGGGCCCGCACAAGCGGUGGAGCAUGUGGUUUAAUUCGAAGCAACGCGAAGAACCUUACCAGGGCUUGACAUCCUACUAACGAAGUAGAGAUACAUUAGGUGCCCUUCGGGGAAAGUAGAGACAGGUGGUGCAUGGUUGUCGUCAGCUCGUGCCGUGAGGUGUCGGCUUAAGUGCCAUAACGAGCGCAACCCUUGUUGUCAGUUACUAAUAGGUUCCGCUGAGGACUCUGACAAGACUGCCAUCGUAAGAUGUGAGGAAGGUGGGGAUGACGUCAAAUCAGCACGGCCCUUACGUCCGGGGCUACACACGUGUUACAAUGGGGGGUACAGAGGGCCGCUACCACGCGAGUGGAUGCCAAUCCCCAAAACCUCUCUCAGUUCGGACUGGAGUCUGCAACCCGACUCCACGAAGCUGGAUUCGCUAGUAAUCGCGCAUCAGCCACGGCGCGGUGAAUACGUUCCCGGGCCUUGUACACACCGCCCGUCACACCAUGGGAGUCAGUAACGCCCGAAGUCAGUGACCUAACUGCAAAGAAGGAGCUGCCGAAGGCGGGACCGAUGACUGGGGUG
rnacentral:rRNA from 1 species